rnacentral:misc_RNA from 1 species
GAUGAAGAACGCAGCGAAAUGCGAUACGUAAUGUGAAUUGCAGAAUUCAGUGAAUCAUCGAGUCUUUGAACGCACAUUGCGCCCCCUGGUAUUCCGGGGGCAUGCCUGUCCGAGCGUCAUUGCUGCCCUCAAGCACGGCUUGUGUGUUGGGCCCCGCCCCCCGAUCCCGGGGGGCGGGCCCGAAAGGCAGCGGCGGCACCGCGUCCGGUCCUCGAGCGUAUGGGGCUUUGUCACCCGCUCUGUAGGCCCGGCCGGCGCCUGCCGAUCAACCAAACUUUUUUCCAGGUUGACCUCGGAUCAGGUAGGGAUACCCGCUGAACUUAAGCAUAUCAAUAAGCGGAGGA